AAUAGCCCAGAGAAAUUUGGAUUAAUACCCCAUAGUAUAAUGAAGUGGCAUCACUUUAUUAUUAAAGAUUUAUCACUCGAAGAUGGCUGUGCGGCUGAUUAGGUAGUUGGCGGGUAAAGGCCACCAAGCCUGCGAUCAGUAACUGGUGUGAGAGCACGACCAGUCACACGGGCACUGAGACACGGGCCCGACUCCUACGGGAGGCAGCAGUAAGGAAUAUUGGUCAAUGGAGGCAACUCUGAACCAGCACCCCCUGCCGCGUGGAGGAUGAAGGUCCUCUGGAUUGUAAACUUCUUUAUAUGGGACGAAAAAGGCUUUCCUAAGUCGUCUGACGGUACCAUAUGAAUAAGCACCGGCUAACUCCGUG
rnacentral:rRNA from 1 species